GGCUUCUGCUCUCAGAGCCCCCGGACACUGAGUUCAUGAGGAUAGACCCCAGGAUAUUAGUGCUCUGCUCCAAGUAGAUCAUCAACAGGAGUCCAUUUAUUCCGCACCUGAAGGGGAAGAGGACACUCGACAAGCAGGAGGUAUCUGGAGAGGGCUGCACUGGAGCAGGCCAGAGGAUUCAGAACACAGGCAUGACAUGACCAUCCUCACAAUGAUGCUAAGGAGCUGCAGAUCUACAGAAGACCUCGUCCCACAAUCAUCACAAUAGGGAUCAUACAGCUGAUAGUGUGGGCACACCUGAUGCUAAACCGAAGACAGAACCGCAGUAUAUAGGACAGGUGUCAGCUGUGGGUCUCAGACAGGACUUGAGACAGCCACAGCACUUAGAAGACAGCCAGCAGUAUAUCCCGCUGAUGCAUAAAGGAACACUGCAUGUCGGUACUACCCGUAUGCCAAUGCUACACGGUACUUUCUCCCAUCAAUUGUAGCAUUUAAGCCUCAGUCUGACAGAGAAAGUUGAGUGAUAAGUCUAUGUAUGAUUCUGUUGUGUGCUACAGAUAUAUCUUUAGCUUAACAAAUUAGCCAACUAGCCAGAACCUUGACCUCUUUACAGUUAGAAGAUUGAAAGUUUGUCAUUUAAAGGAAUGUCUAAAGUUGAAUUAAACUUGGGAAAAUGUGACUCAUUCAUAACAAACAUGAUAUAUGAGAUGUGAUCUUAAAUCCUGAGAAGGACACACUCUCUAUGCCCAUUAAAACGAGACAGAAAGUUCCAACAAUGACUGGACACUUUGGUGGAGAAAGAUGUGUCAAUACCCGAGUAUCGAGGCAUCUGGCUCAUUCUUCAUGCUUUUAGACCUUGUACAGAGCAUAACCAGUGUCCUAGGGGUUGAAGAGGAACAAAGAGGGCUGUUCCAAUUAGAAUGACUGCUACAUGUACAGGUAUAACUAGCAUGAAGCCAGGUGAUCUUGGUUCAUUCCUGUCUAUCCAGAAGGGUGGGUAUCUAGAUGUAUCUAGAUAUAAAGGCUGAGUAUUUGUCAUGGAUGAGGACAGUUGUGACCAUACUCCUGUGAAAUGGGAUCUCUGCAUGGAGGAAUCUGCCUUCAGAGUAUGACUGUGUGGGUGUGUGUGUGUGUGUGGGGAGUGUUUGUUCUAAGUGAGGACAGCUGCGGCUCCAUUCCUAUGGAGGAACCUACCUGCAGUGUACUGGCUGCAACCAAUGGUAGGCAUAGGCUACUGCUUCAAUUAAAUUUCUCUUGCCCUGGUAUUCUCAUUAGUCAACCUUGUAUGUUUAGGACCAAAGGGUUGAUUCUAAGCACCGGACAUUGGUUUAUAUGCAUAUGAAUCAGGGGGUCUGUGUGUAGGAACAAGGGUGGGGGAGAAAUUUCUCCUCAAUUCUGGAUAUUAAGGAUGUUCAUCCUGGGUUCUUGGCAGGUACUAAAGUUUUACAUGCAUGCAACCUGUUGUGCAUAUAAUAAGCACAUACAAUAGGCCUAUAGCGGGUAUUUCCCAGUGUUUCCUGGCUGGAUGGAAAGGAACAAAGACUGGCCAUAGGUGGUGGUAAAUCUCAGCUUCACCCUGGGUGAUCUAAGAAAUGUCCCUCUCCCUUAGAGUUGGUGUAUGACCCUUAACUGUGCAGAUAAAAACUUGGACAAACUCAGGCAACAGCUGACGUGAUACCAGAGUGUGUACUUGCAAAUGUGUGUCUGAAUAUCAUUAGACAGGAAAACUAAUACAAGUAUAUGUUUAAAUCUACAUUUCAUUUAAGUUGGGAAUCCAACAUUUUCUGGAGAACUGAGAAUAUGACUUUUUUAAAAAAAUCAUUUGGCCUCCUUUUAAAUAAAAUUAUAAACGUAAUAUUUUAAAGAAAGUAGUAUGAUACAUGAUCGUCAGUGAAAUCGUGAGCUGCGAAUCUUUGCUACAGGCUGGUUAUUGGGUCAGUUACCUGAACAUCUAAAGUAGAAGCAUUUGUACUGAGGGGCAGGGUAUGUUGCUUCACCCAUCAUUAUGUCAAUGUGAAGUCUGUCAGCGAGUUACUGAUUCCUAUUACAUUUCUAAAAUUUCUCCUGCUGAUACCAUUGCUUUAGUCACCAGUGUGCUUAGAAUCAGAAAAGAAGAGCAAAGGAGACAAAAAGUCUUGGUAAAGAAUAGUGACAUGUUUUAGGCUGGCCUUAUGUGUCAGCUGUGCACUACACACACACAACUGAAAAUACCUGAGGUUUGGCCCUCCCACAGUCUCACAUAGUAGGUGAAUAGAAAUUAUCUCUUGGUGAGUGAUUGGUCGUCUUCUGAUUACGUUAUUUUUUGUGUUUGGAGAAAGGUAAGAACUGAACUUCAUGGCCUAAAUUUACAAUUGGAAGAUGGUGGAGACUGUGAAGUUGCUAUACUCAGAGUCACCUGCAGCCAGCCUAAAGCCCCGUGUCUUCUCCCCUAGAGCUCCCUGGAGCAGGAAAUGUGAACACUUGGCUCUCUGGUGCUCUGGUGCAAAGAGCUGUGCUCAAAAACCUGGAAGAUGUUCAACCAGUAUUGGUCAAACGAGUAAACAGGAGUGGGAAGUCACUUUAGGUGAGUACCCGAGCGUCACACAAAAGAUGGGCUGGGAAAUAAUUAGAAAUGUAAAAUGUUUCAGGCUUUGAAGUGAGUCGUCAGGAAUAUUGUAAAUAGCCUUUUUAGCACAUAUUUAUUUUGGAGCUGCAAAUAAUGAAAGGACAAAAUGGGAAAUAAAAAUAAGGAGAACAGAUGACAUGGUUAAUGGCAUAAAACAACCUAAACAAAGCAAACAGCGUCAAGCAUAAAGAGGAGGACAAUUGCAUUUCCGUUGGCUUUUCGAGGAAAAGAAAGAGACAUAGGCUUUCUAGUCUCGGCAUCACAAAUCUGCAGUCAGAAGUAAGAGUAACCGCUUUAUGUGCAUCAGCCAGGUGUAUUCUUCCUGAGUCUAUUGCUAUAGAUUUUUCCCAUCCACAAUGGCUAAGCCAGGUUUGGGGGCUUCUCAUGUAGUGAGUAGAGAAUAGGGGUGUAGAGGUGAGCAGACUGCCCCUGUACUCAGCUUCCCACUUGCCACAUAGCUCUUGUGCAUACACUAUUGUUCAUCAGAGAAGAAAAUAGCCUGCUGGAGAAAUGAUUACGUUGUGUUAAUUUCACAGAACUUAUGACAGUAGAUUAUUUUAAAUUUAUAGACAGCUCAACAAACAAGGAUGUUCUUUUUUUAUCCAUAAUGCUCCUUUGUAUGUAUUCAUGCAAAGGUUCAUAUGUAUCCUGUCUGCUUUGUUCUUUUUAUAACACUCCCAGGUAGUCAAGACUGGCUGUUCACUGAACUCUAGAUACUUGCUUAUGUCUUCCUCUCUGCUUAGAGAUUAUAACCUCAUGAGAUUAUGACACAUGGCUAACCCUAAAAAAUAAGCAUUUUACCAACUGAUCCAUCAUCUUCCUAACUCCUAUAAAACACAUUUAAUGUUUGUUGUUCAUUUGUUGUAAAUUGAUGUCUCCCUAUUGGUCCACCUGGGGAGACUAUAACUAUUACUUGAGCUUAGGUUGCCCAUCACUGCAAGUGUUGUCUUAUUCCUCACUGUUCAGAAGCUAUGAGGUCCUGACCCUGAAGAAGACAUGGCCCAUGAUCAUAUUGUGCAUGUCAAGACACUCUUUCCCCACUCCUGGUGCCAUAGGAUUCUCCAGAGAUAGGUGAGCCUCAGGAGGUAGCACAGAGACAGCUCUGGGAUAGGAAAGACUGAGAGAUGGGCUCAAAUCUUCAUCUGAGCCCAGGGAUGUGUGCCCAGGUAUUGUAGACAUGCUGUCCUUCCCUUCCUCUGGCAUUGGACCCACUACAGUGCUUGUGUGCGGAGGGCGCUUAGAGCAUGGAAUAGGUAAACACUGCUUAUUGACUACUGGAAUUUUAAUCCUUUGAGUUUUAUAGAUGUACAGCCAGGACAUACCACCAUCUUCAUAUCAUACAACUAAGGAUGUUUCUGCAUGUUUUAGACAAGCAAUACUUUCUCACAGUGAGAACCUCCAGGGCCUCUCUAUUCAGCACAUCUUUCAGGAUUUAUGUAUUUCUAAAGAAGUAAAUUUCCGUGUGUCAGUAACCUGAAUCAGUAAAUUUACCUUUAAAUUCUCUGUAUAAGAUUUGGAUUUGCUACUCAUGUAUGUAUGCACACAAACAGACAUACCACAUGGAAAUCCCUUUUUCUGAGCCCAGUGGUUAUAGGGCUAUUAGCCCAGCUACUUGGAAGCUCAAGACAAAAGGAGUGCAUGGUCAAAGCCUGUCUAGUCUCAGAGUAAGUUCACAGCCAGUCUUGAAAAUUUAGCAAGGCCUUGUCUCAAAGCAAAAUGUAAGAAUAAAGGGUUUGGUGAGAAAGCUCAGUGGUAGAAUGCUGGCCCAGAAGGUUCAGUUCCUAGUACCACAGCACACACAUAUCGCCGCCUCUCUCUUGGACAGAGCUCUUUUGUAUUGAAGACAAUGCUUUCCAUCUAAUUCCAAUUACAUAAAAUACAUUUAAAUGUAAUAUCUAGCAGUAGUUUGCCUAGAUAUAAUAGUCAUGUAAAGAAGCCCAUAAAAUGGCCUAAUACAUUUUCUAGAGCUCUAUGUAGUUGUAUGUGUGCAUAUACACUGUCACCAGCUCACUCUAAGAGCAUUCCAUCAAAUGGAACACUGUUCCCCAAGCUCAAGAUGCUCCCUUAUAACUGCUGGUAGGAGUCACUAUUCAGACUCCCAACACCAUCAGUUUGGUCUUUUCCUUGAACGGGAAUCAUGCAAUUUUAUGUUUGAAACACAAUCUCAUGUGGCCCAGGCUAAUCUUGGACUUUCUUUUUAGUUAAAGCUGUCCUUGAACUCCGAAAUCUAGCUUCUACUUCCCACGUGCUGGGUCACAGGUGAGUGUCACCUUGCCUGGCUGUGCCUAGAUUCUUUCUGUCAAUACAACUUUUAUGAGUCUGAGUUGUGCUAUUUAUCAAGUGAAUUCUAAUGAACCACUAGAUCCCUAAGCAAUGCAUGAGGUAAAGGGAAAUUUGGAGACCUCCCUUUUUCUCAGGUCACACCCAGAAGGUCCACCACACAGGUGCACUUCCUCAUGCACACAGGGCAAGCCACCCACACUUGCCCAACCUUGUAUGCAGAAACUUGAGACAACAGAGUCAGUGAUUAGCUCCGUGCAAUUAGGCAAAUCACUAAUUCCAUCCAGGUCUCUCAAACAUGAAUAUAUUAACAGCACUGCCUAACACAUUUGCAGUGGUGACUGAAUGAAGUGGCCCAUGUGGAAUUAUUUCUAACAGGGACAUCCCCCAAAUCACAUCCUUUUCUUAAAUAAAGAAAAAGUGAGGCAAACCAUUGGGGCUCCACACCACCCACUCUGACACAUCAACAAAAAGUUUUUGUUUUAAACCCUUUGCUCUACACAGGAACUAUGGUGUUCAUAGCACCUAACUUGCUGUGUGCUACAUUAGUUAAUAUACCCCAACUGUGUAUGUCCAUUUGUUUACUGCUAGUGUAGACAAAAAUCCAUGACAUUUGUUACACCAAGAAACUAAAGAACGAUGUAUACAGGUGAUAGAAGAACAACGGACAACUCUCUGGCAAUUUUAAACAAGAGGGCACAAAUAUCUACCUAAUUCAGUAGUAGCAUGGGCUGUAUUAAAUGUGAAAUAUUAAUGGCUCUGCAGCAGGAAGAGGAAGAGAGAUGUCCUUAUCUCACUUUUAUUCGUGGGGCUCCAGUUAACACUGGGAGUUAAUCGCCUAACAUAUUCACAUGAAUAUUGAAAGGGAAUGCUUUGUUUGCAUAUGAAAUUAUCUCAUACCAGGGAAAGAGAAGGAACUCUUCCCAAGAAUAUUAAAAGGGGUAAGGAACUCCACAAGGUGGCCAGACUUAAGAAAUAGACUGGGAUUACUCAUUGCUUAUUGUUUUUUCUUCUCAACAUGGAUAUAGAAAUGACACAAAUCCCCUUUUCAGCCAGAAACUCACAGAUAGAAUACAUAGAAUCCACGAGAGGCAGGACAGGAUUUGCCUGGAGGGCAGGGGUGAGGUGAGUAAAGAUACAGAAGCCUCAAGUACAAGGUUACUUGUCCAUCGUCUGUCUCUGAAUAGGUGAAUUGGGGAUUUGGGUGUCUGGUAAUUCAUCUUAAGGCUCACAACAAAUAGGCUGUCAUUGUUGUUAGACAGAGAUCAUGACCUUGCUGAUAUUAGGGCAAAACUAAGAAGACUUAGUGUAAAGCCAAUAUUACCAAAUCAGUAUGGGAUUGGCAGAAACAAGGAGAAAAACAGAUCAUUUGGAAAUACAAAAACAAAAACAAAAAACCUUGGAAAUAGCCCAUUCUUUAUGGAAAAUAUCAUAUGACACAGGUGUAGCACAUUAUGAACAUAAAUGUGGCCUUUCUAUGUGAGGAUCUACAAUGGAAAACACAGUGUCAGACCAACUUGGAAUGAUAUAUGCAGAUAGACACUUCAUAUCUAGUAAAGAACCAAUGUUUUAAGAAGCUGUAAGUGCAUUGGGGAAGCUAUGGGUAUGAUCAUUAUUGAGGACUAUGAAGAAUUCCUAGAUGCCAUAGGAAAGAAAGUUACAGAAUGGAUAGAUUUGUCUACAUUACAAAAAAAAUCAUCACUAUGUGAGAAAAGGCCCCAGAUGCUCAGACGCUUUGUAAGCAGACUAAGUAGAUGGGGAGGAAACACUUGCAGCAUGAAGACUAUCACCAUUCCCAUGUAGAAAGCCUCAAAUUUGAUAAUAAAAA
rnacentral:sRNA from 1 species